GGCGCGAUGGCCGAGUGGUUAAGGCGACAGAUUAGAAUGUGCGAUUUAACAGAUCCUAUAUCUGUUUCGGUUUCCGAGCGCAGGUUCAAGUCCUGCUCGCGUCG